UACGAAGGGGGCUAGCGUUGCUCGGAAUCACUGGGCGUAAAGGGUGCGUAGGCGGGUCUUUAAGUCAGGGGUGAAAUCCUGGAGCUCAACUCCAGAACUGCCUUUGAUACUGAAGAUCUUGAGUUCGGGAGAGGUGAGUGGAACUGCGAGUGUAGAGGUGAAAUUCGUAGAUAUUAGGAAGAACACCAGUGGCGAAGGCGGCUUACUGGUCCGGUACUGACGCUGAGGUGCGAAAGCGUGGGGAGCAAACAGG
rnacentral:rRNA from 1 species